rnacentral:rRNA from 1 species
UACGAAGGGGGCUAGCGUUGCUCGGAUUUACUGGGCGUAAAGCGCACGUAGGCGGAUCUUUAAGUCAGAGGUGAAAUCCCAAGGCUCAACCUUGGAACUGCCUUUGAUACUGGGGAUCUUGAGUCCGGGAGAGGUGAGUGGAACUGCGAGUGUAAGAGGUGAAAUUCGUAGAUAUUCGCAAGAACACCAGUGGCGAAGGCGGCUCACUGGCCCGAUACUGACGCUGAGGUGCGAAAGGCGUGGGGAGCAAACAGG